AUUCUCAGUUGCUUUUCCCGUCUAUUUCGAACAUGCUGGGGCCUCAGGUGGGUGAGCCACAGUUGGCCAGCUGUCCUAAAUAAGCUGCAGAAUUCGUUAUUUGUCUGCAGACGAUGCUGCGGACCACAGCAAUAGCCUCUUUUAGAAGAACCUGUGCUACAAAGCCUGAAACUCACAAGCGAUAGCGAAUCACCUCGCUGAAGAUGAGGACGUCACUGAUAAAUGCAAGUUUGUGCCGACAUACAUUCCCUACGUACACACAAAGCAGCUGAGCAAGACCCCGGAUGACUGCCACCUAAAGAUAAAUCACGGCAAAGGAGACCACAGUACUGCAGGGUCCCUCUUCUGUCACCACCUCUGCGAACUAGAGAUUGCUUUUUCUAAUGGCAUUACCACGGCAAAAGGAGGGAGGAACACAUUUGUAAUUUUUUUCUUUUCUUCUUGGCACUUCUCACCAUCACUCUGUACACCUGACAUUUGACACAAUGAAUACAUUUUCAAAUCAUUCCUCCCCUCAAAUAUGUGAUGAUUAUAUAGUCUAUCAGUCAGUGUAGUAUAGAUCCAGAAGAAAAGCAGUUGAGGGUUAAUGGAUUUGCUUUAGGCAUUUAUCUCAAUUAGACUGAAAACAGGCUUCAACAGGCA
ensembl:lincRNA